UUCAAUGAAUGAAACAGCGCCCCCUGGAUUGCAGUACUAAGUAAAUGAUAGCAUCCUGUAUGCCAUUUAAGCCCGUGCGGUGACAGGUGGUAUUGCAGCGCAGAGCACCUGAGGAGCUCGCGUCAGAACCACAGGUGAAGCUGGCAUCUUAUUAACUUCUCUCUACUGUAAAUGGACCAAAACACUGGGCUUUAUGUGACGCAUUUUACUCAAAUCACAUAUAUAUUUUACUAAGUACUUGAAAUUACGUAAAGUGGGUGAUUAAAACGUUUUCCAGUAGCAAUAAUGGUGUCGGCUACUUUUGAGAGACCUCUUUGCUAGCCGACGUUAGCUGGUAAAAAUCCAACCACAGGAACCGGGCCUAGCUGUGCACCACCGGCGACGAAGAAACGAGGACCAAGUUGGAGCACAUGACAGGAAAGACCUGGACAUUAACUUUCACCGGACAAGAAGUGCAGAGACGAAAUAUUAUCUGGACACGUGGAGGACAGGUCUUCAAACACGAAUGAGGUGGCGAGAGACGGAGGGAGACGGCUUGGAAGGCAGAGGACGACGGGCUUGCAGACAGUGAGACAGUCUCUUCUGGGCAUAGACUCAGAGUUUAACCUCCUCAAAGUCAAUUUAGCUCCCUACUCUCUCCUUCUUUCUUUCUUUUCACUUCUCUACUUUCUCUCUCCUUCCCUGUGCUCAGCAUACCCCCAUUCUUCUCCGUCUGCCCUUUUAUUUCCUGUCUCUUGACUCCCCUGCAACUUCCACUGCCCUCUGUCUCAGUCAGUGGGGGGCUGCUCUUCUCCUGGGGCCCAAGAUGCAGAGCUCAAUCUCUUCUGUGUCCUCCACUA